rnacentral:tRNA from 3 species
GCGGGCGUAGCUCAGGUGGUAGAGCAUCAGCUUCCCAAGCUGAGGGUCGCGGGUUCGAGUCCCGUCGCCCGCU